UGUCGGGGAUGGUAACCGGGACUUGGGGUGCCUGCUCCUGCUCCUGUCGCCUUUGCCACCAAAUCCACAGUCAUCAUGCGUGAGUGUAUCUCCAUCCACGUUGGCCAGGCUGGUGUCCAGAUUGGCAAUGCCUGCUGGGAGCUCUACUGCCUGGAACACGGCAUCCAGCUUGAUGGCCAGAUGCCAAGUGACAAGACCAUUGGGGGAGGAGAUGACUCCUUCAACACCUUCUUCAGUGAGACAGGCGCUGGCAAGCACGUGCCCAGGGCAGUGUUUGUAGACAUGGAGCCCAUUGAUGAAGUUCGAACUGGCAUCUACCAUCAACUUUUCCACCCUGAGCAGCUCAUCACAGGCAAGGAAGAUGCUGCCAAUAACUAUGCCCGUGGGCACUACACCAUUGGCAAGGAGAUCAUUGACCUCGUCUUGGACCGGAUCAGAAAGCUGGCUGACCAGUGCACAGGUCUUCAGGGCUUCCUGGUCUUCCACAGCUUUGGUGGGGGCACUGGCUCUGGCUUCACCUCCCUGCUGAUGGAGCGUCUCUCUGUGGACUAUGGCAAGAAGUCCAAGCUGGAGUUCUCCAUUUACCCCCACCCCCCAGGUGUCCACAGCUGUAGUUGAGCCCUACAACUCUAUCCUCACCACCCACACCACCCUGGAGCACUCUGAUUGUGCCUUCAUGGUGGACAAUGAGGCCAUCUAUGAUAUCUGUCAUAGAAACCUCGAUACUGAACACCCAACCUAUACUAACCUGAACCGCCUUAUUAGCCAGAUUGUGUCUUCCAUCACAGCUUCUCUGAGGUUUGAUGGGGCCCUGAAUGUUGACCUGACAGAAGUCCAGACCAACCUGGUGCCCUAUCCCCGCAUCCACUUCCCCCUGGCCACAUAUGCACUCCCUCUGUACAACUGA